GGCUUUGUAUUCUAAAUAAGGAAGUCCGAUUUGCACCCGGGAAGUGGUAGUCAAUACCCAGAGCCU
rnacentral:tRNA from 1 species